ensembl:misc_RNA
CUAGACUAGUGGCAGACUUAAGAUGGCGGCGUUUGCAUGGGAUGUAGUAGCCGCAUGCUUACCGGGAGUGGCAAGGCGGCUAAAGAAUAAAUCUACUAACGAAAGUCCAGAAACUCGUCAGAUUUUCAGUUGUGG